rnacentral:rRNA from 1 species
CCCCAGCGCCACAAGUGGCAAUCGCUAUUAUUGGGCUUAAAGCGUCCGUAGCCGGCUUGGUAAAUCUUUUGUGAAAUUGUUCCGCUUAACGGGACAUCGUGCAGGGGACACUGCCGAGCUCGGAACCGGGAGGAGUCAGAGGUAUGCUGGGGGGAGCGGUAAAAUGUGAUAAUCCCCAGUGGACCACCUGUGGCGAAGGCGUCUGACUAGAACGGAUUCGACGGUGAGGGACGAAAGCCAGGGGAGCAAAACG